AGUGAACGCUGGCGGUAGGCCUAACACAUGCAAGUCGAACGGCAGCACAGUAAGAGCUUGCUCUUACGGGUGGCGAGUGGCGGACGGGUGAGGAAUACAUCGGAAUCUACUUUUUCGUGGGGGAUAACGUAGGGAAACUUACGCUAAUACCGCAUACGACCUACGGGUGAAAGCAGGGGAUCUUCGGACCUUGCGCGAUUGAAUGAGCCGAUGUCGGAUUAGCUAGUUGGCGGGGUAAAGGCCCACCAAGGCGACGAUCCGUAGCUGGUCUGAGAGGAUGAUAGGCACAAGUGGAACGAAGAAAGGGCCCAGACACCGACGGAAGGAGGCAGGGGGGAAUAUUGAAAAAGGGGGGAAAGCCGGAACCAACAAUGCCGGGGGGGGGAAGAAGGCUUGCGGGUUGGAAAGCCUUUUUGUGGGGAAAAAAAGGAAGCAGGUUAAAACCCCGGUGUUCGGAAGGAACCCAAAGAAAAAGCACGGGAUAAUUUCGU
rnacentral:rRNA from 1 species